rnacentral:rRNA from 1 species
AACGAACGCUGGCGGCAGGCCUAACACAUGCAAGUCGAGCGGACCUUUCGGGGUCAGCGGCGGACGGGUGAGUAACGCGUGGGAAUAUGCCCUUCUCUACGGAAUAGUCCUGGGAAACUGGGGGUAAUACCGUAUACGCCCUUUGGGGGAAAGAUUUAUCGGGGAAGGAUUAGCCCGCGUUGGAUUAGGUAGUUGGUGGGGUAAUGGCCUACCAAGCGGACGAUCCAUAGCUGGUUGGAGAGGAUGAUCAGCCACACUGGGACUGAGACACGGCCCAGACUCCUACGGGAAGCAGCAGUGGGGAAUCUUAGACAAUGGGGGCAAACCUGAUAUAGCCAUGCCGCGUGAGUGAUGAAGGCCUUAGGGUUGUAAAGCUCUUUCAGCUGGGAAGAUAAUGACGGUACCAGCAGAAGAAGCCCCGGCUAACUCCGUG